UACGUAGGGCGCAAGCGUUGUCCGGAAUUAUUGGGCGUAAAGAGCUCGUAGGCGGCUUGUCGCGUCGGAUGUGAAAGCCCGGGGCUUAACCCCGGGUCUGCAUUCGAUACGGGCAGGCUAGAGUUCGGUAGGGGAGAUCGGAAUUCCUGGUGUAGCGGUGAAAUGCGCAGAUAUCAGGAGGAACACCGGUGGCGAAGGCGGAUCUCUGGGCCUUACCUGACGCUCAGGCACGAAAGCUAGGGGAGCGAACAGG
rnacentral:rRNA from 1 species